rnacentral:rRNA from 1 species
GAUGAACGCUGGCGGCGUGCCUAAUACAUGCAAGUCGAGCGAACAGACGAGGAGCUUGCUCCUCUGAUGUUAGCGGCGGACGGGUGAGUAACACGUGGAUAACCUACCUAUAAGACUGGGAUAACUUCGGGAAACCGGAGCUAAUACCGGCUAACAUGUUGAACCGCAUGGUUCAACAGUGAAAGACGGUCUUGCUGUUACUUAUAGACGGAUCCGCGCCGCAUUAGCUAGUUGGUAAGGUAACGGCUUACCAAGGCAACGAUGCGUAGCCGACCUGAGAGGGUGAUCGGCCACACUGGAACUGAGACACGGUCCAGACUCCUACGGGAGGCAGCAGUAGGGAAUCUUCCGCAAUGGGCGAAAGCCUGACGGAGCAACGCCGCGUGAGUGAAGAAGGUCUUCGGAUCGUAAAGCUCUGUUAUUAGGGAAGAACAAAUGUGUAAGUAACUAUGCACGUCUUGACGGUACCUAAUCAGAAAGCAACGGCUAACUACGUG